rnacentral:rRNA from 1 species
GAUGAACGCUAGCGGCAGGCUUAAUACAUGCAAGUCGAGGGACCGGCAAACGGGUGCGGAACACGUACGAACCUUCCCAAACUGGUGAAUAGCCCUCCGAAAGGAGGAUUAAUACACCGUAGGAUGGGCGUGCGCCUGAUUAGGUAGUUGGCGGGGUAACGGCCCACCAAGCCUGCGAUCAGUAACUGGUGUGAGAGCACGACCAGUCACACGGGCACUGAGACACGGGCCCGACUCCUACGGGAGGCAGCAGUAAGGAAUAUUGGUCAAUGGACGCAAGUCUGAACCAGCCAUGCCGCGUGGAGGAUGAAGGCCUCUGGGUUGUAAACUUCUUUUAUCUGGGAUGACGGUACCAGAGGAAUAAGCACCGGCUAACUCCGUGCCAGCAGCCGCGGUAAUACGGAGGGUGCAAGCGUUAUCCGGAUUCACUGGGUUUAAAGGGAGCGUAGGUGGGCAGGUAAGUCAGUGGUGAAAUCUUUGGGCUUAACCCGAAAACUGCCAUUGAUACUAUCUGUCUUGAAUAUUCUGGAGGUGAGCGGAAUAUGUCAUGUAGCGGUGAAAUGCUUAGAUAUGACAUAGAACACCAAUUGCGAAGGCAGCUCACUACGGAAUUAUUGACACUGAGGCUCGAAAGCGUGGGGAUCAAACAGGAUUAGAUACCCUGGUAGUCCACGCCCUAAACGAUGGAUACUCGACAUCAGUGUCUGAGCGAAAGCAUUAAGUA